CUUGAAUUGAAAUACUGGCUCUUUCUGGACCACCAGCCUGCCAGUUUUCAGACUGGAACUCACAAUCUGAACUCUCCUGGGUCUGGCUUGCUGACAGAAGAUCUUGGGACUUCUCAGCCUAUAUAAUCACGGCAGUCGACUGGCCAAGCAAGAAAGUCAAGGUCAUCCAGCUCUGGUGAUUCAUCACACCUCAUUGUGAAUCCUGGAAACGGUUCACUCAUUCCCUGAUCCCACAAAUAUCUCCUGGGAAGAGCGCCACAAGCCCGGCAGACCCGGAUUCCACAUGUGGGCCACCCUCUCUCCCACCUGAUCACCAAAGAGUGGCCCUCGGAACCAAGAUCUGCCAUCACUGAAGCCACGUGAAAGCACAUGGCACAGGUCCCAAAGGCACGCCCACGAGAUGUGUCCCCAAAGCAUUUUUGAGAGAUGAUAGCCUCCUGGCAGUAAGGCAAACGUCUCCCAAGGUGUCCUUCUCAGAGACCACACUCAGGAAGAGGCAGUUCUGGAAUGCUGGGUUUGAAUACCAGCUCUCAUUAGCUCGAAUGAUACCAUUACUCACGUUAAACCAAAAAGAUAGACAAACAAAAGAUGGAGAGUAAAUCAUCCGUGGUCCCCCAGCAGACCCCAGAAAAAGCCAAACCGGUUCUUACUAGUGAGAAGGUUCUUACUUAACAGCACUCGUGGAAGAUGCGCUCCUGGGGCUGCCCAAUGCUCAAAGCCACUGGUUCCUCCAUGGGAAGGGAGGGCUCUUCCAUGGGAGCCUUUCUUGGCCCUCUGAAGACUCCAACAGCAUCUCCUGUGACCAGGCACGGUGCACCUCUUUGGGCGGACACUCCUGCUGCCCUCAGUGGCACCCGUCCCACACAGACAUGUGCUAGUGGUCCCCUCACCCUCUGACAGAAGCCGUGACCUUAGUUUGGGUUCCCACAGCAGACUCAGGAACAAGGACCCUGAUGCAAGGCAUUUAUUAGGGAGGGGACCCCAAGAGAUAUCCCAGGAAGGGGAGGGCAGCAAGUCCAGGUUGUGCUCUGAACAGGUCGCUGCUGCGGACAACUGGAGAUGGUGUAGAACACACAUCAGGGUGUCCCACCCAAGGGAAGGAAACUGGGGGCAGCGGGGGGCGGGGGGCUCAUAACUCCCACCUGGUACAAGUUGAGCCCUGCUCCCAAGGGCCAUUAGCUCCCUAGAACUUUGGGACCACCCAGCCAGGACCCAAGCAUAUUUCUAAGUGGAGAGAGUGCUUUCAGGUAGAACACUCUAGGCUUAUAAGGGGUGAGUGCUAAGGGGUUAUCUGGAAGGACCAAGGACACUGCUGCAGCCCUCUUAACUGAAUCCCUCUUAGAGAUGCAUCUGGACCAAGCCAGCAUCCCUAGCCAGGUUGGGCGCCCACUGCCUGUGAUUCACCCACCACUGAUGUGCACCCCACUGGGGUAGGAAGGUUGACAUGUGUGGGACCCCAGUCCACAGCUCCCAGAUCACGGGUGGGGUCAAGUAUCGCGAUCUCAAGGCUCUCCAAGUGGAGCGCUUACGUCAUUCUUUCUAGGCUCUUGUUUAACGCCCUCCCUCCCCCCAGCCCUACCUGUACAUCUUUACUGUCUUUUUUUUUUUGGCGGGGACUGGGGUUCCCAGCAAGAGACCAAAGAAAUCUGCCAGCAGAACACCCAGUGCCCCCUCUUUUCCCCCUUUUAUAUCCUCCUCCGGGUUUGAAGUCCUUUAACUGGGUCUUUGAUAUUUCCUUUGAAAAUAUCUGCAUUUUGGUCUCACAUUGGAAUCUCUUAGCUGUUGUCUUUGGCGCUCAAGGUGAAAUGUGCAGUUUAAUGUCCUAACUUGGUAGCUCAGCUCUGAUGUCUCCAUCCCACACCGGGCUCUGUGAAGUGGGAGGGAGCGCGCCCUCCUCCUCACCCCAGGCCCAACUCUGACCUGGCGGGCGCCAGAGCAGCCUGCUGGUGCCCCCUUUGGUAGAAUUAAACCUUUCAGGAGAACCGCUUCUCUCCCGUCAACCUGCAAGCAUUCUCUCCAUCAGCCUCAGUCCAAGCUCAAAGGGGCCAACAUCAAAGACUGUAGUGGAUUGAAUGGUGCUCUACCCUCCACAAAAGAUGAGUCCAUUCAGAACCUGUGAAUGUGAUCUUAUUUGGAAAAAAGGUCUUUACAGACCUAAUCAAGUUAAGGAUCGCAAGAUGAGAUCAUCCUGGAUUAGGGUGGCCCCUAAAUCCAAUGACAUGUGUCCUUAGGAAAGAAGGGCACAAGGACAUAUUGUAGAGCACAGGAAAUUAUAGCCAUAAUCUUGUAAUAACUUUUAAUGGAGUAUAAUCUGUAAAAAGACUGAAUCACAGUGCUGUACAUCUGAAACUAAUAUAAUAUUGUAAAUCAACUGUACUUCAAUAAAAAGAAAAAGAAAGGAAAGAGAAGGAGACACAACACACAGGGGAGAGAGUGACAUAAAGACGGAGGCAGAGAUUGGAGGGAUGCGUCCACAAGCCAAGGAAAACCAAAGAUCGCCAACAGUCACCGGAAGCUUGAAGAGAGGCCUGGAAGGGAUUCUCCCUCAGAGCCUCCAGAAGGAACCAAUCCUCCCAACUGGUG